rnacentral:tRNA from 1 species
GUUGCGAUGGUCGAGUGGUUAAGGCGUUUGACUAGAAAUCAAAUGGGAUCUUCCCGCGUAGGUCCGAAUCCUACUCGCAACG